rnacentral:rRNA from 1 species
GAUGAACGCUGGCGGCGUGCCUAAUACAUGCAAGUCGAGCGGACGGACGAGAAGCUUGCUUUUCUGAUGUUAGCGGCGGACGGGUGAGUCACACGUGGAUCCCCUCCCUAUCAUACUGGUAUCACUUCGUAAAACCGGCGCUAAUACCGUAUAAUCUUUUGAACCGCAUUGUUCAAAAGUGAAAGACGGUCUUGCUGUCACUUCUCGAUGGAUCCGGGCUGCAUUAGCUAGUUGGUACGGUAACGGCUUACCAAGGCAACGAGGCAUAGCCGACCUGAGAGAGGGAUAGGCCACCUUGGAGGGUAGACACGGUCAAGAGUACUAAGGGAGGCAGCAGAAGGGAACGGUCGGCAAUGGGCGAAAGUAUGACGGAGCAACGGCGCGUGAGUGACGAAGGCCUCCGGAGCGGAAAGAUCGGUUAUGAGGGAAGAACAUAUUUGGAAGGAACCGAGGAGAGAGUGACGGUACCUAGUAAGAAAGCAACGGCUAACUACGUG